GGGGGGCUUUGAGUAUAUGAUGGUGAUGGAUUAUAUGUAGGGGGUGGGGAUGGUUUUGGUUGCCAGUGUGGGGUACUAGGUGGUGGGGUUGGUGGCUCGUUACAAGGUGGGGUAGGUGGGGCGGGAUGUGAUGGCUCUUGUGGAGGUGUGUGUCCAGCUGGUGGUGAUGGAGUUGGAGUUGGAGGUUUUGGAUGCUCGUAUACUGGUGGUGGUGGUGGUGGUGGUGGUGAAGAUGGUGUCACAUAUACUGGUGGUGGUGGAGAGUGAGGCGUGUAUGUUGGUGGCUCGUAAUGUACUGGUGGUGGUGGUGGUGAUUGAGGUGUGUAAGUUGGUGGCUCGUAAUGUACUGGUGGCGGUGGAGGUGGUGGUGGUGAUUGAGGUUUGUAUGUUGGUGGCGCGUAAUGUACUGGUGGCGGUGGAGGUGAUGGUGAUGGGUGAUGAUAGUAUACCGGACUUGGUGGAGGUGGAGGAGGUGGAGCAUGACGAGUUACAGGUGAAAUUUUGUGGGUAGGAGGUGGUGGACUUCUGUGUUUAUGCGACGGAGAACUACUGUAAACAGGUGGUGGUGGUGAUGGCGGAGGAGUUGAUUGAGGUGGCG
rnacentral:lncRNA from 1 species